CCAGACUCCUACGGGAGGCAGCAGUGGGGGAUAUUGCACAAUGGGGGGAACCCUGAUGCAGCGACGCCGCGUGAGUGAAGAAGUAUUUCGGUAUGUAAAGCUCUAUUAGCAGGGAAGAAAGAGACGAAAGUCUUGUGACAGUACCUGACUAAGAAGCCCCGGCUAACUACGUGCCAGCAGCCGCGGUAAUACGUAGGGGGCAAGCGUUAUCCGGAUUUACUGGGUGUAAAGGGAGCGUAGGCGGUUAGAUAAGGCUGAUGUAAAAGCCCGCAGCUUAACUGUGGGAUUGCAUUGGAAACUGUAGAACUAGAGUGUCGGAGAGGUAAGUGGAAUUCCUGGUGUAGCGGUGAAAUGCGUAGAUAUUAGGAGGAACACCAGUGGCGAGGGCGGCUUACUGGACGAUGACUGACGCUGAGGCUCGAAAGCGUGGGGGGCAAACAGGA
rnacentral:rRNA from 1 species